ACUAACACUCCCAUCCACACUUCACGCCACCACAUUUCCCCACCUCCAUGGGAAGAAAAACCAACUACACAAGCAAAUAAGUUACAAUCAGUGCAAGAAGCGUGUAGAAACAAAUGCCAUAGAGCUUCUUAUCUGGACUCAGACGCAACAUCGGUUCAAAGAUCACAUAACUCAAGCAGCUCCCAACCUCAUUCACUUUCAAGUUUCAACAUCAUCACACCACGGCAUUAUCAUACCACAGCAGCCACAGAGCAUCAUACCAUUUUGGAGCAAUCCCAAUAUUGUGUUGUAAUUGAUGAAUCCCCAAAAGCACCUUCUUGGAUUGUCAUCGAUCCACGACGUCUUCAAAUUCGAUAGCUCUCUAGAAUAACACAAAACCACUCAUUUUCGACUAUUGCUAACCAAGGACGAUGGAGUCGCCAUAUUUACGAAUGGAAGAAGGUCGAAGCACACACCUAGGUUGUACGUCUGCGUUUGACGAUGAACGAUUUUCCUUGGACCUUCAUUUGGGAAUGGAGUUGAGGUAUUUUGGG
rnacentral:lncRNA from 1 species